CUCACAAUUAAUCCGAUUACACACGAGCUUCUCUCCCUGGCCAAGACACAACCAUAGUAUGAUGAAGAACAUGGCACUAGCCGGCAAUGGUAUGAAGAAGUUAAUCCUCGCUGUUCUCUUACUGUGUCUAGUUAUAGGGCAGAUACAAGUGGAAGCUAAGAGCUGCUGCCCAUCCACCACUGCAAGAAAUGUCUACAAUACCUGCCGUUUCACGGGUACAUCCCGUCCAACGUGUGCAAAACUGUCAGGCUGCAAAAUUAUCAGCGGGAACAAAUGCAAGCCCCCUAACGACCACCUCACCCUUGACCCGGACACUGGUAAAUAAUAAAUUUAUCUCACUUGAUUUCUUCGUGAUUUGAGUCGUUAAUGUAUUUUCCAUCUGAUGAAACGUAUUGGUUUUGCAUUGAAGAGGAAGUUAAUGUGCUUAACUUCUGCAAGUUGGGGUGUGCGUCGUCUGUGUGCAACAACAUCAACGCUGGUAAGCAACUUUUGCUCAGACAGAGAAAACAAUAAUCAUUAAUUAGCGGCAGCUAGAAUCCUAUAAUCUAAUAUAUAUAUAUAUAUAUAAUUUUAUCAGCUCUGGGAAAUGAAGAGGCGAACGAUGCCGUUGAGAGUUGCGACCAAGCCUGCUCUAGCUUCUGCAGCGUGCAUGUUGGCAGCGCCACCGUGGUUGCUUAAGCAAAUGCAUCCAACUAGAUCGUCCUUGUGCUGAAUAAUUGGAUAUCGUAUCCACUUAAAGCUGCCUUGUGUAGUACGUCUUUGUGUCUCUCUUUAUAUUCCAAUAAGGUCGGUGAUCUUGAUGCCACACACUCAGAUGUGUGUUCAUCUCCAGAUACUACUCCAUGCUACCUGCCCUUUGUGUUUUGUUCAAUAACUGGGUAUCAUAUCCCAGCCAGUAUGCCGUCUGUUUUGUGUUUGUUUCCUUCUAGUUCCAAAGGGGUCAUCAUGAUGUUACCUUCUUUCAAUAUGGUGCUUUGCAUGACUACUGUUGUAUGGUACCAUCUUGUGGCCAAUAAGUACAUCUUAUCCUAUGACCUUUGCUAUGACCCUUUGCAAAUAAGUAGAAGAUUGUUAUAAGCGUCAAUACUCCGUAUAAAUUGAUCGCUGCUGUGAGUUCCCUUUCAGCUUAUCGUAGGCAUACAUUAUUGCUAGCACGGUAAAGCCAACCAACACGAAUGAUGAAGUAAACGUAGCGGUACUUCUGUAUACCAACACCCUUACUUAAAU
rnacentral:lncRNA from 1 species